GAAAUCCCCGGGCUCAACCCGGGAACUGCGUUCUGAACUGGGUGACUCGAGUGUGUCAGAGGGAGGUGGAAUUCCACGUGUAGCAGUGAAAUGCGUAGAGAUGUGGAGGAAUACCGAUGGCGAAGGCAGCCUCCUGGGAUAACACUGACGUUCAUGUCCGAAAGCGUGGGUAGCAAACAUGAUUAGAUACCCUGGUAGUCCACGCCCUAAACGAUGUCAAUUAGCUGUUGGGCAACUU
rnacentral:rRNA from 1 species